CAGAUAUUAGUUUAUUAAAAUUUUAAUUUUGGAGAUUAAAGAUAGGAUUAUUUUUCUAUAUCUGA
rnacentral:tRNA from 1 species